ensembl:snRNA Gm25831 predicted gene, 25831
AUGUUUACCUGGCAGAGAGAUACCAAGGUCAUAAAGGGUGGUUUUCCCAGGGUGAGACUAAUUCGGUGAACUGUAACAUUCGGGCCUCCAUCAUUCCCCAAAUGAGGAAAACUUUUGUCUACAUCAUUUGUUGUAGUGGGGGGUUGUUUCAUGUCUUAACCCAU